UUCCAGUAACCACCCUAUGUGUUUCUUUACAGUUGUAUUCCAUCGAAACCAGUGGAAAUAAAAUGUCUGUGAUACGUAUGCUGCAGGUAUCCUUAAAAUGCCAUCACUGCAUCUUUGAUGAAGAUGGGAAGCAGGAAGCAAUCCAGAUUCCCAGAGAAUCCAACUGAGAGGCAGGAGGAUGGCUUGGAGACUGGAGCAGACGGUGCUCAAGGAGAGGCUGAAGGAGCUGGGUUUUUCUAGCCUGUAGAAGGCACAUGGUGAAAGAACAGGAGGCAACAACCACAAGUUGCAGUAAAUGAAAUUGCAAUUGGGUGUAAGGAAAAAAUUCACUAUCAUGAUAGGGGUUAAGUUCCUGAACAGAUUACACAGGGAAGCUGAGGUGUCCCUGUCCAUGGAGAUUUUCAGAGCUUGGUGGAACACAGCCACAUCAGCAACCUGACAUGAUGAAGUUAGCCUUGCUUUGAGCAGGUGGUAGGAGUAGGGUUUGAAACAUUUGAGGAAUAAUAUGCAGUGCUUUUUAUAAGGUGUCAAAAGUCUAUAGCUUUAAGAAAAUCUGGGAAGUUUAACAGCCAAUUCCAUCAAUGGAAGAUGAAUCUGCCCGUCAGAAUGUUUCAAGUAUGCAUUGUGCAUUGUUACAAACAAAUGUGAUGGGAAUUAAAAUUAGAUUCUUCCCAAGUAAAACAGAAAAUAUCAUGUAGGAAAAAAAAAACCCAACAUGAAAGACUUUACUAUGCCUUUGCUCUGUCUUAGCUUGCAUGAAAUACUAAUUAUGAGCAGCCUUCAUUCAACAGUUUAGGUGUGCGUUUUAAAAGAUCUCAAGGUCCUUUUAUUGCUACCUAAAUUCUGUAUCCCUAGGAAUGCUGAUAUUUAGAAAUAAGCAUUUGUUCUUUCAGACUGUUUAACAAAGCCUGCAUAUUUUUGUGAGUUUUUUUAAACCCAUGAUAAUGUAAACAUAAUACCAUUGUAUCUUUGUGUUUAUAACAAAUGUUUCAUUUAAAUGCACCUUAACAGUGUAAAU
rnacentral:lncRNA from 7 species